CUGCCGGUGUUGCUAGUACUGAUAAGGAGGAGAAACUGACCGGCAGUGGUAGAAGACGUGAGGGGAGGGAGCAAAGGCCUGCCUGAAGCUACUGAUAGAGCACCUCCAGGACUGAGGACGUGCGAUAAACCCCGACAAGGUGCAGGGACAGGCAUCGGUGGUUCAAUUCUUGGGGGUCACCUGGUCAGAUAUCCCAAGUCUGUCAACUGUGCCAACAGUCUCCUCGGCUGUUUUCCAAUCAUGCUGCCCAGUUACACACUCUAUUAGGUCUGUAUUGUAUUUCUGUGAACUGCAUGGACAGUGCAGAGGCUCAGUUCACUACUGCAUUACAGGUGCCGAACACAUUCCUAUCCGGGGAAGAUCAACAGAAGAUAAUCAGCUCUUACACAGCCAACAUGGGAUUCAUAAUAUGCGAUGGAGGAAGAAGAGGAUAUCUUGUUUUUAUGCGUGAGAAAAGAAAGACUCAGAAUACAGAACUUGUCCAAGAUCACACAAAAAGCCUGUGGAGGAACUGGAAU